GAAUAUGGGGGGACCAUCCUCCAAGGCUAAAUACUCCUGACUGACCGAUAGUGAACCAGUACCGUGAGGGAAAGGCGAAAAGAACCCCGGCGAGGGGAGUGAAAAAGAACCUGAAACCGUGUACGUACAAGCAGUGGGAGCCCCACCACUAAGCCAGUGGUGAACUCCACAUCCGCAUCCUUUGCUGAGGAUACGGUUAACGGAGCGAAAGCGACGUUCAACCGCAAAACAAGCAGAGGGGGCUUAGUGGUGGGGUGACUGCGUACCUUUUGUAUAAUGGGUCAGCGACUUAUAUUCUGUAGCAAGGUUAACCGAAUAGGGGAGCCGGAGGGAAACCGAGUCUUAAUUGGGCGUUAAGUUGCAGGGUAUAGACCCGAAACCCGGUGAUCUAGCCAUGGGCAGGUUGAAGGUUGGGUAACACUAACUGGAGGACCGAACCGACUAAUGUUGAAAAAUUAGCGGAUGACCUGUGGCUGGGGGUGAAAGGCCAAUCAAACCGGGAGAUAGCUGGUUCUCCCCGAAAGCUAUUUAGGUAGCGCCUCGUGAAUUCAUCUCCGGGGGUAGAGCACUGUUUCGGCUAGGGGGCCAUCCCGGCUUACCAACCCGAUGCAAACUGCGAAUACCGGAGAAUGUUAUCACGGGAGACACACGGCGGGUGCUAACGUCCGUCGUGAAGAGGGAAACAACCCAGACCGCCAGCUAAGGUCCCAAAGUCAUGGUUAAGUGGGAAACGAUGUGGGAAGGCCCAGACAGCCAGGAUGUUGGCUUAGAAGCAGCCAUCAUUUAAAGAAAGCGUAAUAGCUCACUGGUCGAGUCGGCCUGCGCGGAAGAUGUAACGGGGCUAAACCAUGCACCGAAGCUGCGGCAGCGAACGUAUCACCCAAGACAACUUUACGGAGUUGACGAUUGACGGAGCGAAGCGACGUCAAAGCGUUCAUUAAAGUCGAGUUGGCUUAGGGAUACGUUCGUUGGGUAGGGGAGCGUUCUGUAAGCCUGUGAAGGUGUGUCGUGAGGCAUGCUGGAGGUAUCAGAAGUGCGAAUGCUGACAUAAGUAACGAUAAAGCGGGUGAAAAGCCCGCUCGCCGGAAGACCAAGGGUUCCUGUCCAACGUUAAUCGGGGCAGGGUGAGUCGACCCCUAAGGCGAGGCCGAAAGGCGUAGUCGAUGGGAAACGGGUUAAUAUUCCCGUACUUGGUGUUACUGCGAAGGGGGGACGGAGAAGGCUAUGUUGGCCGGGCGACGGUUGUCCCGGUUUAAGCGUGUAGGUGUGUGUUCCAGGUAAAUCCGGUUCACUUUAACACUGAGGCGUGAUGACGAGGCACUACGGUGCUGAAGCAACAAAUGCCCUGCUUCCAGGAAAAGCCUCUAAGCAU
rnacentral:rRNA from 1 species